UCGAAUGUUUUAUCAAAAACAUUUUUUUUAGUUAAGAUAAAAAAUAUAACCUGCCCACUGAAUUUUAAAGGGCCGCGGUAUUAUGACCGUGCUAAGGUAGCAUAAUCAUUAGUCUCUUAAUUAGGGAAUUGUAUGAAUGGUUGAACCUAUAAAAACUUUAUUUUUUAAGAAAAUUAAAUUUUUAUAUCAGAUGAAAAUUUUUGAAGGGAGCAAAGGGACGAUAAGACCCUAUAGAGCUUUAUGCUGGCAGUAUUUUAAUGAAUAGAGGUAAUUUAAAUUUUCUGUACUGUGUUUAAUUGGGGCAAUAGAAGAAUAAUAAGAACUUCUUAAAAAAUAGAAUAACUAAAAAUUUUAAAUUUAAAAAGUUACCUUAGGGAUAACAGCGUUAUAUUUCUUAAGAGUUCUAAUCGACAGAAAUGUUUGCGACCUCGAUGUUGAAUUAAAAUUUCUUUGUAGGGCAGAAUUUAUAAAAGAUAGUCUGUUCGACUAUAAAAUUUUUACAUGAUUUGAGUUCAAACCGGCGA
rnacentral:rRNA from 1 species